rnacentral:rRNA from 1 species
GNUAGUCAGNUACGAGCGCAACCCCUAUCCUUAUUUGCCAGCGCAUAAUGGCGGGAACUAUAAGGAGACUGCCGGUCAUAAACCGGAGGAAGGCGGGGACGAUGUCAAGUCAUCAUGGCCCUUAUGGGUAGGGCUACACACGUGCUACAAUGGGUGGUACAGAGGGUUGCCAAAGCGUGAGCUGGAGCCAAACCCUUAAAACCAUUCUUAGUCCGGAUUGGAGUCUGCAACUCGACUCCAUGAAGUCGGAAUCGCUAGUAAUCGCGAAUCAGAAUGUCGCGGUGAAUACGUUCUCGGGCCUUGUACACACCGCCCGUCACACCAUGGGAGUGGGUUGCUCCAGAAGUGGAUAGUCUAACCUUCGGGAGGACGUUCACCACGGAGUGAUUCAUGACUGGGGUGAAGUCGUAACAAGGUAGCCCUAGGGGAACCUGGGGCUGGAUCACCUCCUU